rnacentral:rRNA from 1 species
UACAGAGACUGCAAGCGUUAUUCGGAUUCACUGGGCGUAAAGGGUGCGCAGGCGGCCACGUGUGUCAGGUGUGAAAUCCCGGGGCUUAACUCCGGAACUGCGCCUGAAACUACUUGGCUAGAGCAUUGGAGAGGGAAGUGGAAUUCACGGUGUAGCAGUGAAAUGCGUAGAUAUCGUGAGGAACACCAGUAGCGAAGGCGGCUCGCUGGGCCAUUCCUGACGCUGAGACGCGAAAGCUAGGGGAGCGAACAGG